UCUUCCGUAGUAUAGUGGUCAGUAUGUGAGCUUGUCAUUUCAUAUCAGAAUUCGACUUCGCUCGAGACCCGGGUUCAAUUCCCGGCGGGAGAG